GAUGAAGAACGUAGCGAAAUGCGAUAAGUAGUGUGAAUUGCAGAAUUCAGUGAAUCAUCGAAUCUUUGAACGCACAUUGCGCCCAUUAGUAUUCUAGUGGGCAUGCCUGUUCGAGCGUCAUUUCAACCCUUAAGCCUAGCUUAGUGUUGGGAAUCUGCUGUAUUGCAGUUCCUCAAAUACAACGGCGGAUCUGUAACAUCCUCUGAGCGUAGUAAAUUUUUAUCUCGCUUUUGUUAGGUGUUGCAGCUCUCAGCCGCUAAACCCCCCAAUUUUUGUGGUUGACCUCGGAUCAGGUAGGAAUACCCGCUGAACUUAAGCAUAUCAAUAAGCGGAGGA
rnacentral:misc_RNA from 1 species